CAACCUUACAGCACCUAUCUUUUCAAAUGAAUAUAGGAAUGAAGAGUGGAGCCAGGCCUCUUGGCCCCUCAAGCCAUUUAAUAAGAUGCUGUCUGCCUGCUGAAUAUUUCCAUCAUUUCCUGUUAUAUACAGGAAGUCCCCGGAUUACGAACGAGUUCUGUUUUUGAGUCUGUUCGUAAGUUGAAUUUGUAUGAUGCAGCGAGUUAAGGUUCAGUGGAUCGCGGGUGAUGUUAACCGAACAUGGAGCAGUUAUUAGCAUUUCUUUACUUCAUCAAAUAAGUUUAUGAGAAAGCGGAUCAAUUGCGGUGUCUGUGUCAGGCGGACCGCCGCACUAUCAGGGGAUGCGAGAGGCCUCAA